CAGCCGCCGCGGGAAUACGAAGGGGGCUAGCGUUACUCGGAAUUACUGGGCGUAAAGGGCGCGUAGGCGGCACGAUUAGUCAGGCGUGAAAUUCCUGGGCUCAACCUGGGGACUGCGCUUGAUACGGUCGAGCUAGAGGAUGGAAGAGGGUUGUGGAAUUCCCAGUGUAGAGGUGAAAUUCGUAGAUAUUGGGAAGAACACCGGUGGCGAAGGCGACAACCUGGUCCAUUACUGACGCUAAGGCGCGACAGCGUGGGGAGCAAACAGGAUUAGAGACCCCCGUAGUCCCUGUCUCUUAUAC
rnacentral:rRNA from 1 species